GAUGAACGCUAGCGGGAGGCUUAAUACAUGCAAGUUGUGCGGCAAGCAGUAGCAAUACUGCCUAGAGCGGCGUACGGGUGAGUAACACGUAUGUAAUCUGCCCCUGUCCGGGAGAUAGCCCUCCGAAAGGAGGAUUAAUAUCCCAUAACACUGCGGAACGGCAUCGUUCUGCAUUUAAAGCUCCGGCGGACAGGGAUGAACAUGCGUCCCAUUAGCUUGUUGGCGAGGUAACGGCUCACCAAGGCGACGAUGGGUGGCUGGUCUGAGAGGAUGAUCAGCCACACGGGCACUGAGAUACGGGCCCGACUCCUACGGGAGGCAGCAGUAGGGAAUAUUGGGCAAUGGACGCAAGUCUGACCCAGCCAUCCCGCGUGAAGGAUGAAGGAUCUAUGGUUCGUAAACUUCUUUUAUUGGGGAAGAAAAAGCCUGAUUUAUCAGGAACUGACGGUACCCAAUGAAUAAGCACCGGCUAACUCCGUGCCAGCAGCCGCGGUAAUACGGAGGGUGCAAGCGUUAUCCGGAUUCACUGGGUUUAAAGGGUGCGUAGGCGGCUUUAUAAGUCAUUGGUGAAAGCUCGCAGCUUAACUGCGAAACUGCCAUUGAAACUGUUUAGCUUGAAUGUGGUUGAAGUGGGCGGAAUACAACAUGUAGCGGUGAAAUGCUUAGAUAUGUUUUAGAACACCGAUUGCGAAGGCAGCUCACUAAGCCAAUAUUGACGCUGAGGCACGAAAGCGUGGGUAGCAAACAGGAUUAGAUACCCUGGUAGUCCNCNCCCUAANCGAUGAAUACUCGAUGUGUGCGCCUUGUGCGUACGCGUCCAAGCAAAAGCGUUAAGUAUUCCACCUGGGAAGUACGGCCGCAAGGUUA
rnacentral:rRNA from 1 species